rfam:Glycine max cultivar Williams 82 chromosome 2, whole genome shotgun sequence.
UUUUGGUUGAACGAUGACUGCCACAUGUUAUGUUCUGAUUGGAUGUUGACUCUAUAGACGAUGAAAAUGUAUUGUUGUCAAUGUUCAAUCAGAACGUGACACGUGACAGUCAUCGUCC